rnacentral:tRNA from 1 species
GGAGAGAUGCCUGAGCGGUCAAAGGGUGCUGCCCGGAAAGCAGAUGGCCGCAGCGAUGCGGCACCAGGGUUCGAAUCCCUGUCUCUCCGCCA